rnacentral:rRNA from 1 species
CCUACGGGAGGCAGCAGUGGGGAAUAUUGGACAAUGGGCGAAAGCCUGAUCCAGCAAUGCCGCGUGAGUGAAGAAGGCCUUCGGGUUGUAAAGCUCUUUUACCCGGGAAGAUAAUGACUGUACCGGGAGAAUAAGCCCCGGCUAACUCCGUGCCAGCAGCCGCGGUAAUACGGAGGGGGCUAGCGUUGUUCGGAAUUACUGGGCGUAAAGCGUACGUAGGCGGCUUUGUAAGUCAGAGGUGAAAGCCCACGACUCAAUCGUGGAACUGCCUUUGAGACUGCUUCGCUUGAAGAUGGGAGAGGUUAGUGGAAUUCCGAGUGUAGAGGUGAAAUUCGUAGAUAUUCGGAAGAACACCAGUGGCGAAGGCGGCUAACUGGACCAUUCUUGACGCUGAGGUACGAAAGCGUGGGAGCAAACAGGAUUAGAUACCUGGUAGUCCACGCCGUAAACGAUGAUAACUAGCUGUCGGGGCUCUUGGAGCUUCGGUGGCGCAGCUAACGCAUUAAGUUAUCCGCCUGGGGAUACGGCCGCAAGGUUAAAACUUAAAUGAAUUGACG